rnacentral:rRNA from 1 species
AUUGAACGCUGGCGGCAGGCCUAACACAUGCAAGUCGAGCGGAUGAAGGGAGCUUGCUCCUGGAUUCAGCGGCGGACGGGUGAGUAAUGCCUAGGAAUCUGCCUGGUAGUGGGGGAUAACGUCCGGAAACGGGCGCUAAUACCGCAUACGUCCUGAGGGAGAAAGUGGGGGAUCUUCGGACCUCACGCUAUCAGAUGAGCCUAGGUCGGAUUAGCUAGUUGGUGGGGUAAAGGCCUACCAAGGCGACGAUCCGUAACUGGUCGGAGAGGAUGAUCAGUCACACUGGAACUUGGACACGGUCCAGACUCCUACGGGAGGCAGCAGUGGGGAAUAUUGGACAAUGGGCGAAAGCCUGAUCCAGCCAUGCCGCGUGUGUGAAGAAGGUCUUCGGAUUGUAAAGCACUUUAAGUUGGGAGGAAGGGCAGUAAGUUAAUACCUUGCUGUUUUGACGUUACCAACAGAAUAAGCACCGGCUAACUUCGUG